UACAGAGGUCUCGAGCGUUAGGCGGAAUCACUGGGCUUAAAGCGUGUGUAGGCGGAUCGGUAAGUACCUUGUGAAAUCCCACAGCUUAACUGUGGAACUGCUUGGUAUACUGCCAGUCUUGAGCCACUUAGGGGCUACCGGAACAGAUGGUGGAGCGGUGAAAUGCGUAGAUAUCAUUUGGAACGCCAAUGGUGAAAACAGGUAGCUGGGAGUGUGCUGACGCUGAGACACGAAAGCCAGGGGAGCAAACGGG
rnacentral:rRNA from 1 species